CCUCUGGGCCAGCACUUUAGGUCCUCGGCACCAAGCUAUAUUUUGCUCAAUAAAGUACCUCUUGUGUGUUGCAUUACCGUGUGUGUGUGUGUGUGUGUGUGUGUGUAUGUGUGUGUGUGUGUGUGUGUGUGUGUGUGUGUCCUCCAUGGAUUCUGAGCCAGAAUCGGUCAUUAUACCUUCAACCCAAAAGGCAGGAGUCCUUGAAACGGAACAGAAGAGCUGCCUUAACACUGCUGCUGCUGCUGCUGCUCUUUGUGCUACAGCUGACCGCUCUGUGGCAUCACAUUCUGAGGGAGAGCCAAGAACACAAGGUACAAGUGGAGCCCAAGAGUGACCAGGCUACCCUAUAGGUUCCAGCCAUCUCUCUAUCUAGGCAGGCACUGAUGCCAGCACACAGUCAGCCAGCCAGCCAGUCAGCCAGCCAGCAGCGUCUAGUGUAUUCUCUACCUGCUUCACUCCUUUCACAGACCUAGCCAGGACAUGGUGAGGACCAAGGAGAAUAGUGAACGUGCCGGUAAAAGGGACAGCUGUCUCAUCCCUGCAAGGACAAGGUCCACCCUAUGUUGCCAGGAACGACACUUCCCCCCUUUUGAGAUCCUCGGUCGACACCACUCCAAAGGAGACACUUCCCUUACAAAGAACGCUCACAAGGUGUGUAAGCCAGAGGACGCCCAGCAAAGGCUUUUCCACCAAAGGCAUGUUGGUGAUCUGACUGGCAGGAAGAGCAGGCUGAACACACUUUAGGGGCUCUGGUAGUUAUACCAGGGGCCAGCCAGACUCUCUUAACAGAGUCCACGAUGCCCGGGGUACCAAAGUGGCCAUUAGGAUGAACAGAUUGGUAAAUUUGGUGAUGGAAACUUCUAGGGAGCAGGGGUUUUCCUUCAGAUGACACCCACACUCCAUGAAUUGGUUUUGCUUUGAAUUUUCCUUUCCAUUUCUCCACUUCCUUUUCAUUAUAGGAAAGUGAUCCAUUUAAGUCAUCAGUGGUUGUUCCUGUUCAAAGUAGUUCAGGCCCUCCUAUGGCUGCUAGCUUGGCAGCAGCAUCUGCUCAGUCAUGUCCCCUGGAGACAGGGUCAGUGCCACCUCUAUGGGCACAGCAGUGAACUAGAGCCAGGGCUUCAGGCAGCGGGAGAGCAGAAAGAACUUCCUUAAUCAUUUCUGCAUCCGCUAUGGAAGGAGAAUACUGAGAGCACAGGGUGGAAGGCAGGUGUGUGACUGCUCUAAGGCAAAGUGGGCCACUCACGGCCAAGGUCCACUCCUAUUUAUGCCUGAGACGUCAGGAUGUGUACGAGGCUUGGGGUCCAACUUGCACAGA
rnacentral:lncRNA from 1 species